AGUGAACGCUGGCGGCAGGCCUAAUACAUGCAAGUCGAACGGCAGCACAGCUUAAGCUUGCUUAAGUGGGUGGCGAGUGGCGGACGGGUGAGGAAUACGUGGGAAUCUGCCAAGUCGUGGGGGAUAACGUAGGGAAACUUACGCUAAUACCACAUGCGCCCUUCGGGGGAAAGCCGGGGAUCUUCGGACCUGGCGCGAUUGGAUGAGCCCACGUCGGAUUAGCUAGUUGGAGGGGUAAAGGCCCACCAAGGCGACGAUCCGUAGCUGGUCUGAGAGGAUGAUCAGCCACACUGGAACUGAGACACGGUCCAGACUCCUACGGGAGGCAGCAGUAGGGAAUAUUGGACAAUGGGCGCAAGCCUGAUCCAGCCAUGCCGCGUGAGUGAAGAAGGCCCUCGGGUUGUAAAGCUCUUUUGUUGGGGAAGAAAAGCCUUGGGUUAAUACCCUGAGGUUCUGACGGUACCCAAAGAAUAAGCACCGGCUAACUUCGUGCCAGCAGCCGCGGUAACAC
rnacentral:rRNA from 1 species